rnacentral:rRNA from 1 species
ACCAUCGAUGAAGAACGCAGCGAAAUGCGAUAAGUAAUGUGAAUUGCAGAAUUCAGUGAAUCAUCGAAUCUUUGAACGCACCUUGCGCCCUUUGGUAUUCCGAAGGGCAUGCUUGUUUGAGUGUCAUUAAAUUCUCAACCUUGACUUGCUUUUGUUGCGAGCUGAGGCUUGGAUGUGAGGGUGCUGGCUUCCUUAAGUGGCGGUCUCCUCCCUUUAAAUGCAUUAGUGGGAUCCUUUGUGGAUCAGUUCACUUGGUGUGAUAAUCUAUCUACGCCGCUUGACUGGGAAGCAAAACCUAUGGGAACCUGCUCAUAACCGUCUUCGGACAGCUUUCUUAAUGUUUGACCUCAAAUCAAGAGACACCCGCGAC